GCUGCCCCGACUGCUGCCCCGACUGCUGCCCCGACUACCGCAGCCCCGACUGCAGCCCCGACUGCUGCCCCAACUGCAGCCCCGACUGCUGCCCCGACUGCCGCUGUGACGGCCUCCGCUGGGCCCGUUGCCACCGCUGCACCACAACUCACUUCCCGGGAGGUGGUGUUCAGAUCGGCAGGAGAAACCUUCACGAAUGAUCUAUUGAGCCCAUCUUCUGCUGCGUUUAUGGCCCGAGCAACGCUCAUAACAACACAACUCGAACCCUUUUUCAGUCAGAGUUUUGGCUCCUUUAACACCAUAAACGUUGUAUCAUUCCGCAAUGGGUCGAUCAUCAACACCCUGAACGUUUUGUUCAAUUCAAACUCAGUUCCUGAUGGCCAACAGAUUUUAAAUGUGUUCACCACUGCAGCGCAAAGCAUCACAGCCUUCAAUAUUGAGACCAGCAGUAUAACUGUGGAGGGCCAACCAGUUUCAACCGGAGUCACCCACAAGAGCAGUGUCCUCACUGCAUUGGUGUUAAUGGCUCUAUCCUGGUCUCUGUCCAGACAGAGUUAGUGUCGGCCUGUCCGACUACCUAAAUCUUGGGAUGCACGAUAAAUAUAUGUCUGAUUAAUUAUCAGAAAGGAGGUGUCGAUAGGAUCUAUUGGGCUGUAUUAAAGAUGAUAUGUAUGUUCCAAAUGAUAUGUAUUAAAGGACUUAAUGUACAAUAAAUGUGACUUUCUCAGGUAAUGAAUUUAUAAUGGAUGGGCAUUUAAGGAAUACAUCAGAAAUAUUUCCAUUGAUUUAAGUUAUUAGUGUGAUGCAUGCAUGUAGGCCUAAUCAUUUGGCUUAUUCAACCGUAUUGUAUUCUGUGAGAUUAUAUUGCCUUUAAAUACCAUUAUCCUUAUAAAUGAAGCCAUCGUUAUAGGUUAUUUUUGAAUUUUUUGCACAAGUGGGAUUAAGCAAUAAAACGAAUAAUAAUAAACUUUCA